rnacentral:lncRNA from 1 species
CCUCUCUUGAACUGCCUUAGCUCCAGUGUUCUUUUUAGGACUGAUACUAAGAUUUUUGCCUUUGCUGAUGGUGCAAAUGUCAGACAGUUCUGAGCCAGCAGGAGAAGUCUGAACCAAGCCUCACACUCCUGGAAAGGAAACCAGCCUUUGUCCCAGGACUCUUUGAAGAAGAUUUUGCAGACUUAUCUUGUCCUGAGCCGAACAGAGCACCCUCUCAGAAACCUGUUCCUCCUCACUUGUUCUCCACCUUCAUGAACAGCCGCACCAGCGUCUGGACCAGGUCCUUUCGCUGGAUUCUCUCCUCUUCCUCCCACAUCCCAGCCAGUGGCAGUGAAGAUUUAUUUCCGACUCAUUUCAUAGUCCUGUGGGCUGCAGCAGUGGGUUGGAGAUCCAGGCUCCUCAGUGUGAGGCCCGCACAAUCUCCAAGGAUGAGGAGGAGACACAGGGUUGGCAUACGAGGACAUUUCUAUCAUUCAUGCUCACUUAUCUCUGGCCAAGACUGGUCGCCUGAUCAGGUUAACUACAAGGAGGGUGGCGGGGCCUGGUGUAUAUGAGCCUUCACACCUCACAAGAGAGACCAGAGAGAAGAUAAUGGGGAGAAGAUACUUCAGACUAACUAUUGUCAUUAAAAGCCAUCCCACUAAAUAAGAGGGACAAACACCUAGG